AGAGUUUGAUCCUGGCUCAGGACGAACGCUGGCGGCACGCUUAACACAUGCAAGUCGAACGAGAGAAGAGGAGCUUGCUUUUCUGAUCUAGUGGCGGACGGGUGAGUAACACGUGAGCAAUCUGCCUUUCAGAGGGGGAUACCGAUUGGAAACGAUCGUUAAUACCGCAUAACAUAAUUGAACCGCAUGAUUUGAUUAUCAAAGAUUUAUCGCUGAAAGAUGAGCUCGCGUCUGAUUAGCUAGUUGGUAAGGUAACGGCUUACCAAGGCGACGAUCAGUAGCCGGACUGAGAGGUUGAUCGGCCACAUUGGGACUGAGACACGGCCCAGACUCCUACGGGAGGCAGCAGUGGGGAAUAUUGCACAAUGGAGGAAACUCUGAUGCAGCGAUGCCGCGUGAGGGAAGAAGGUUUUAGGAUUGUAAACCUCUGUCUUCAGGGACGAAAAAAGACGGUACCUGAGGAGGAAGCUCCGGCUAACUACGUGCCAGCAGCCGCGGUAAUACGUAGGGAGCGAGCGUUGUCCGGAAUUACUGGGUGUAAAGGGAGCGUAGGCGGGAUCGCAAGUCAGAUGUGAAAACUAUGGGCUUAACCCAUAAACUGCAUUUGAAACUGUGGUUCUUGAGUGAAGUAGAGGUAAGCGGAAUUCCUAGUGUAGCGGUGAAAUGCGUAGAUAUUAGGAGGAACAUCAGUGGCGAAGGCGGCUUACUGGGCUUUAACUGACGCUGAGGCUCGAGAGCGUGGGGAGCAAACAGGAUUAGAUACCCUGGUAGUCCACGCCGUAAACGAUGAUUACUAGGUGUGGGGGGACUGACCCCUUCCGUGCCGCAGCAAACGCAAUAAGUAAUCCACCUGGGGAGUACGACCGCAAGGUUGAAACUCAAAGGAAUUGACGGGGGCCCGCACAAGCAGUGGAGUAUGUGGAUUAAUUCGAAGCAACGCGAAGAACCUUACCAGGUCUUGACAUCGUAUGCAUAGCUCAGAGAUGAGUGAAAUCUCUUCGGAGACAUAUAGACAGGUGGUGCAUGGUUGUCGUCAGCUCGUGUCGUGAGAUGUUGGGUUAAGUCCCGCAACGAGCGCAACCCUUACUGUUAGUUGCUACGCAAGAGCACUCUAGCAGGACUGCCGUUGACAAAACGGAGGAAGGUGGGGAUGACGUCAAAUCAUCAUGCCCCUUAUGACCUGGGCCUCACACGUACUACAAUGGCUGUCAACAGAGGGAAGCAAAGCCGCGAGGUGGAGCGAACCCCUAAAAGCAGUCUUAGUUCGGAUUGUAGGCUGCAACCCGCCUACAUGAAGUCGGAAUUGCUAGUAAUCGCAGAUCAGCAUGCUGCGGUGAAUACGUUCCCGGGCCUUGUACACACCGCCCGUCACGCCAUGGGAGUCGGUAACACCCGAAGCCUGUAGUCUAACCGCAAGGAGGACGCAGUCGAAGGUGGGAUUGAUGACUGGGGUGAAGUCGUAACAAGGUA
rnacentral:rRNA from 1 species